rnacentral:lncRNA from 1 species
ACAGGCAAAACAAACUACAGUUGAUUUGGAGAAAUUAAGUUCUGUAGGCCUUUGUCAGUAUACCAUGUUCAUCUAAAAACUUCAUACUUUGGUCACAAGACAAUCAUGCUGUGCUUCACAAAGCAUUUGAUGGAGUAAAAACAAGCUGUUGGGAGGCAAAAGGUAAGAUUUUCAAUGUAAAUAUGACCAGGAAAAGAAGCCACAUGCAGGCACAUAUGUACUUUAGUGAGGGUGUUGAUGAAAGUGAUGUAGUACUCAUAAUACUUCAUUCAAAAGGCAGUAGACAGGACAAAAUAGUGCUGGAAACCAAAAUAUAAUUGUGUCCUUUGGGAACACAGGACAUAUUUGAUGAUGAUCAUGACCAUGCUGAUGAUCAAUUUUGAAGACAACAAAAUGCCUUCAUUUCUUAGCGUACACCAUCUGGUUUUCAUUUCUUUUGAAGAUGAAAAUGCCCUCCUAUGGAUUGGCUCAGCAGGUGUGUUGUUUCCUACUACUACUUUAAAAAAAAAAUUUACUCAGUAAGUGAUUUCAUUCCUGAAUCAGGAAAAGAAGAUAGAUGCUGCUAGAAAUGACAAUGUCAAACUCAUGACAGUGAUUAUUUCAAGCUCAGAAUGAAUCACUUUUAAGACAGGAACCUUUGGUUUAUUUGUUUUGCGGCUAUUAGGCAUUUAAUACUUCCACUGAGACAGAGUAAACUUUCUAAAG